rfam:Oryctolagus cuniculus cont2.39695, whole genome shotgun sequence.
CCGUGAGCCCCCGGGGCCCUGGGGAGCACCAGGAGGUCCACGUGGGAGACAAGACUGCUCUGUUUAAUAUUUAAACAGCAGUGUUCCCC